AUGCCUUUUGGCCUGUGCAACGCCCCUGCAACUUUUCAGUGCCUCAUGAACACGGUAUUUGGGCGCUAUGUUCAUAAGUUUAUCAUCAUAUUCCUCGAUGAUAUUCUCGUCUUCAGCACUGACUUGCAGGAACAUGAGGAGCACCUGCGGCUCACGUUGCAAUUGCUUCGCGAGCACCAGCUUUUCACCAAGGAAUCCAAAUGCUCGUUUGCGCAAACUAGCAUCGAGUACUUGGGACACGUGAUCUCCAAGGAUGGGGUCGCAACCGACGCAACCAAGACCAGCACCAUGCAGCCCUGGCCCGUGCCCACGAUGGCCACCGAGCUCCGCGGCUUCCUCGGCCUGACGGGAUACUACUGCAAGUUCGUCUCCCACUACGGCAUUAUCGCGAAGCCGCUGACCUAG
rnacentral:rRNA from 1 species